GCUCCUGUGACCUAGUGUUUAAAGCGUCCGCUUCGGAUGCGGGAGAUCUUGGGUUCGAUCCCCGGUCGGGUCA